UGAGUGCGAGCGGCUACGGCCGCGAAGUGGGUGAUGUCAAGCUUCCAAGAAAAGCCCUAUACCCGUUAAGGCAUGAUGGCCUGUACCCGAAACCGACACAGGUGGGGUGGUAGAGAAUACCGAGGGGCGCGAGGUAACUCUCUCUAAGGAACUCGGCAAAAUGGCCCCGUAACUUCGGGAGAAGGGGUGCCACCGCAAGGUGGUCGCAGUGAAGAGGCCCAGGCGACUGUUUACCAAAAACACAGGUCUCCGCUAAGUCGCAAGACGAUGUAUGGGGGCUGACGCCUGCCCAGUGCCGGAAGGUUAAGGAAGCUGGUCAGCGCAAGCGAAGCUGGCGACUGAAGCCCCGGUGAACGGCGGCCGUAACAAUAACGGUCCUAAGGUAGCGAAAUUCCUUGUCGGGUAAGUUCCGACCCGCACGAAAGGCGUAACGAUCUGGGCGCUGUCUCGGAGAGAGGCUCGGCGAAAUAGAAUUGUCUGUGAAGAUGCGGACUACGUGCACCCGGACAGAAAGACCCUAUGAAGCUUUACUGUAGCUUGGUAUUGUGCCCGGGCUCUGAAUGCGCAGGAUAGGUGGGAGGCUUUGAUCCAUGGCUUGCGGGUCAUGGUGAGCCAACGGUGAGAUACCACUCUUUCAGAGCUAGGGUUCUAACGGUCACCCGUCAUCCGGGGACCGGACAGUAUCAGGUGGGCAGUUUGACUGGGGCGGUCGCCUCCUAAAAGGUAACGGAGGCGCGCAAAGGUUUGCUCAGGCUGGUUGGAAAUCAGCCGACGAGUGCAAAAGCAGAAGCAAGCUUGACUGUGAGACCUACAAGUCGAACAGGGACGAAAGUCGGCUUUAGUGAUCCGACGGUUCUGAGUGGAAGGGCCGUCGCUCAACGGAUAAAAGUUACUCUAGGAUAACAGGCUGAUCUCCCCCAAGAGUUCACAUCGACGGGGAGGUUUGGCACCUCGAUGUCGGCUCAUCGCAACCUGGGGCUGAAGUCGGUCCCAAGGGUUGGGCUGUUCGCCCAUUAAAGCGGUACGCGAGCUGGGUUCAGAACGUCGUGAGACAGAUCGGUCCAUAUCCGGUGCACGCGCAGGAACAUUGAGAGGAUUUCUCCCUAGUACGAGAGGACCGGGAGGAACGCACCUCUGGUGUGCCAGUUAUCGUGCCAACGGUAAACGCUGGGUAGCCAUGUGCGGAGUGGAUAACCGCUGAAAGCAUCUAAGUGGGAAGCCCACCUCAAGAUGAGUGUUCCCAUGGCAUAAGCCAGUAAGGUCACGGGAAGAACACCCGUUGAUAGGCUCUACGUGGAAGCCGGGUAACCGGUGAAGCGGAGGAGUACUAAUAGACCGAGGGCUUGACC
rnacentral:rRNA from 1 species